GCCAUUGGCUUCUGAACGGGACUAUAGUUCUGUGAUGUUUGCUGCUGUAUAAAGUGAAGACUGGAUUCUCUGUAGGUGAAUAAUGGAAGGGUGGGUAGAGUUUCUUCUGGUCUCCAGUAAAGUGGAGCAGCAGAAGAUCCAGCUCUGAUCAGCAGCAGCUCCACACCUCUGUACUCAGACUGCUCUGCUGGAGGAACACCAUCAAAUCACCUGCAGCAGAAAUGAACGCCGUCUUGUUCCAAGUCUUCUGCUUCAAGUGCCGACUCUUCAACCUGUUUGAAAUUUAGUUUUACAAAGACACAACCAGAAGAUUUCACAAAGAGGCUAAGCUGCUAAAAGUGGGGAUGAAUAUGGCAUCCAGUGAAAUCUCCAAUACUCAGCAAACAUCCUCUUCUACGCCUCACAGAGAAAUGCAGGAUUCCACAGACGAGGAAGAAACUGACGACAGUUCAGACUGCGAGAGUCUUAUUCAACAGAGUGAUCUCCAACGAAAGAACCCAUAUACCUGCACAGAGUGUGGGAGGAGUUUCCCUACUCAGAGUUAUUUCAAAUUACAUCAACGCAUUCACACUGGAGAGAAACCUUAUCACUGUUCUGAGUGUGGGAAGAGUUUUACUCAGCAGGGUAAUUUGAAAUCACAUCAGCGCAUUCACACAGGAGAGAAACCGUAUCACUGCUUAGAGUGUGGGAGGAGUUUUAUUCAUCAGAGUUAUCUCAACAGACACCAGCGCAUUCACACUGGAGAGAAACCUUAUCACUGUUCAGACUGUGGGAAGAGCUUCUCUCAACAUAGCCACCUCAGUGCACAUCAACUCAUUCAUACUGGAGUGAAACCCUAUUACUGCUCAGAGUGUGAAAAGAACUUCAGACGUUCACACACAUUAAAGACACACUGGUGCGUUAAGAAGAAGAAGAAAUAAGCAGUGACAUACCUUAAACCAUUCCAAAUCCCAACCCAGUUUCCGAAAAUACAGGUCAUUUGUUUACAGAGGAAAGAAAACAUGUUUUGAAGCAUAUAUGUACAGCCAAUGAUACAGGUGCAUCUGGAUAGAAUAGCAUUAAAGUUAUUUUAUUUCAGUAUUUUAGUACAGUUUGAGAAUGUAAAACUCAUAUUAUAUAGACGGAUUAUACAGAGACUAGUCUAUUUUAAGCGUUUUUUUCUUUUAUUGUUAAUGAUUAUGGCGUACAGCCAAUGAAAACCCGAAAGUCUGGAGGAAGAGUGGAGAGACACACAGUCCAAGCUGCUUGAGGUCUAGUGUGAAGUUUCCACCAAUCAGUGAUGGUUUGGAGAGACAUGUCAUCUGCUGGUGUUGAUCCACUGUGUUAUAUUUAUCAGUCAAUCAUCUUCAUCUAUGGGGAGCCAUGUUUUUUUUUAUUCUUUGGGGAGUUUGUGUUUAAUGUUAUUUUGUGUUUAUUUAGUUUAAUUGUGUGGUUCCCCUGAUGCAGUAUUAUUCAGCCUUCUGGUGUUAGUGUGGGGGGAGAAUAAGGGUCAUACCAGUGGUUUGCCAUUUUAAAAGAAUAGCUUGUUUGCAAUUUAUUUCUGUUUCUCCCUGCUAAAAUAAAGUUGCCAAAAUUGAA